AGGAGCCGUGUGCGUGAAUAGCGCAAGUACGGUUCUGUGAGGGGUUCCCUCCUACUACACU
rnacentral:ncRNA from 1 species